UACGGGGGGGGCAAGCGUUGUUCGGAAUUACUGGGCGUAAAGGGCUCGUAGGUGGUCAACUAAGUCGGGUGUGAAAUCUCGGAGCUUAACUCCGAAACUGCAUUCGAUACUGCCGUGCUUGAGGACUGGAGAGGAGACUGGAAUUUACGGUGUAGCGGUGAAAUGCGUAGAUAUCGUAAGGAAGACCAGUGGCGAAGGCGGGUCUCUGGACAGUUCCUGACGCUGAGGCACGAAGGCCAGGGGAGCAAACGGG
rnacentral:rRNA from 1 species